GCUUUUAUAAACCACAAGUGAGUAAACAAUGCUGAGGUCAUUGCAUUGUGUGAAUUGUGUGAAAGGAGAAUUUCAGUCACAAUGGAACAAAAUCUAGAACAGACGUUAUUGUGAAGUGUAUGAAAUGACCGAAGAUGUCGCUCUUUCUCCAAAGCCUCAGCAGAUUUGGGGCCCUGGUAGAUGAUCUCCUCGCUGCUGUGAAGAUUUUUCUCUCCUUUAUCAGACUUGCACUCAGGCUUCAGCGGCUCUUCAGGCUUCACAUUACUAUGACGUCCACGAGAACAACCCUGAGCAUGAUGGGAUAUACAACACAAAGUUUUAACUGAAAUAAGCAGUAAAAUUUAUUGGCAUGACAUACAGUAAUGUAUUACAUUAUGCUAUAAAGAAGCAGCAGUGACUGUUUUUGUGUGAAAAAGACAACCAAUCUGUGGAUUUCUGGAUGCAGAUUGGUCAGAAGGUCGGGACUGAACAUCUCUCUCAGUAGUGCAACAAUAACUCACUCACGGGUUUCUAAUCAUUUUGCUCGAUCUAAUAUUUGAUCAUUUCUAUAGUCACGGUUAAUAGACUUGUAUGGCAGAGGCUCCACAUAAUCUCAGCAAACAGAUUUAUUAAAAAAUAAAUGAAUAAAUCCCCAGAAACCUUAUUUAAUGAAGAGAAAAUCUUACGGUAAAUUCCCUUGGGAAAGUUUUUUUUAUAUAUAGAGACAUUUAUUUAACAUUUAUGAGAGGAGUCUCCAUGGAGCAGCACUUAUAAAGACAAAGGACUAUUUGUCUUAUUAAAUUCAUUAGAGAGUCACAGCUGCUAAAUUGCAGUGGGUCCUGCAACAACUUACUAAUAAUCAAAUAAUCAACUUUGAAAUGCCUUGAAAUGUUUACUGGAAGUGUGUCAACUACCUGGAUUGAAAGAAACUCUGAGAAGUCUGUCGUUCUCUUCUUACAGCAGGACCAGCCCUGAGGAAAGAAAACAGAGAACAUUUACACUAAAAACCACAUCAUGAUCUGACCGAACUUUCAGUCAAGA